rnacentral:tRNA from 1 species
GCGCUCGUAGCUCAGCCCGGAUAGAGCAACUGGCUACGAACUAGUAGGUCGGAGGUUCGAAUCCUUCCGAGCGUACCA